rnacentral:rRNA from 1 species
UACGAAGGGGGACUAGCGUUGUUCGGAAUCACUGGGCGUAAAGCGCACGUAGGCGGAUUUGUAAGUCAGGGGUGAAAUCCCGGGGCUCAACCUCGGAACUGCCUUUGAUACUGCGAGUCUUGGAGUCCGAUAGAGGUGGGUGGAAUUCCUAGUGUAGAGGUGAAAUUCGUAGAUAUUAGGAAGAACACCGGUGGCGAAGGCGGCCCACUGGAUCGGUACUGACGCUGAGGUGCGAAAGCGUGGGGAGCAAACAGGAUUAGAUACCCCCGUGUAG